GCGAACGCUGGCGGCGUGCUUAACACCUGCAAGUCGCACGGAAAGGCCCUGCUUUUGUGGGGUGCUCGAGUGGCGAACGGGUGAGUAACACGUGAGUAACCUGCCCUUGACUUUGGGAUAACUUCAGGAAACUGGGGCUAAUACCGGAUAGGAGCUCCUGCUGCAUGGUGGGGGUUGGAAAGUUUCGGCGGUUGGGGAUGGACUCGCGGCUUAUCAGCUUGUUGGUGGGGUAGUGGCUUACCAAGGCUUUGACGGGUAGCCGGCCUGAGAGGGUGACCGGCCACAUUGGGACUGAGAUACGGCCCAGACUCCUACGGGAGGCAGCAGUGGGGAAUAUUGCACAAUGGGCGGAAGCCUGAUGCAGCAACGCCGCGUGCGGGAUGACGGCCUUCGGGUUGUAAACCGCUUUCGCCUGUGACGAAGCGUGAGUGACGGUAAUGGGUAAAGAAGCACCGGCUAACUACGUG
rnacentral:rRNA from 1 species